rnacentral:tRNA from 1 species
GCAGUGGUGGUUCAGUGGUAGAAUUCUCACCUUCCAUGCAAGAGACCCAGGUUCGAUUCCCAGCCAGCGCA